GACGAACCUUGCUAACGUUAUUCGGAAUUACUGGGCGUAAAGGGUGCGCAGGCGGUUAUAUAAGUUGGAUGUGAAAUCCCCGAGCUUAACUUGGGAAUGGCAUUCAAAACUGUAUAUCUAGAGUUUGUCAGAGGGGGGUAGAAUUCCAAGUGUAGCAGUGAAAUGCGUAGAGAUUUGGAGGAAUACCGGUGGCGAAGGCGGCCCCCUGGGAUAGAACUGACGCUCAGGCACGAAAGCGUGGGUAGCAAACAGG
rnacentral:rRNA from 1 species